UACGGAGGGGGCAAGCGUUGUUCGGAAUUACUGGGCGUAAAGGGCGCGCAGGCGGCUGCUCAAGUCAGGCGUGAAAGGCCUGGGCUCAACCCGGGAAUUGCGCUUGAGACUGGGCUGGCUUGAGUGCGGGAGAGGAUGGUGGAAUUCCCAGUGUAGAGGUGAAAUUCGUAGAUAUUGGGAAGAACACCGGUGGCGAAAGCGGCCAUCUGGACCGCAACUGACGCUGAGGCGCGAAAGCGUGGGGAGCAAACAGG
rnacentral:rRNA from 1 species